GCCCAGGUUUUGAUGUCUUUCAAAGCUUCCGUGGUGCGCCCUGGAUUGAGAACCACCACCCAAGGGGUACAGCCCCUCUCUUCCAACCGAGAAGUUCCUGUCCCAGAAUGGACUCAAGGACAAGAGAUCCUGAGAGCCCUGGGACUGGGAGCAUCUGCUCCUCUGAGGCCAGGAGGCUGGUGCUGGGCCAGAGAGGGCAGCGUGGCAGAAAUCAGCGUCUACCGCAGCACAGGAACAGAUGGCCCUGUGCUGUGCAUGCGGGAGCCGCGCCUUCUGUGUCUUCAGUCUUGGGCCAAAAUUCACGUAGACUGGUCUCUCCCUUGCAGGGAACAGUUUUGGGGAGGCGUUGGGGGAGCUCGAACCCACUCGUUGGUCUAAACCCAGAGAAGGAGGCAGUGAGGAAGUGUCCCCUCAGGUGACUGGAUCUGUGUUCCUCCUUAUCAUCAUCUGAUGGAAUGGCAAUGAAAAGCAUGGAUUGUGGAAAAUACAGAAAAGCAUAAAGGAAAAAACUCCAAUCCUCUGAACCCACCAGUGUUCAGGAUACCUGCUUUUGUCGCCUACUAUUUCCCUUUAGUUUUUAGCAGUGGCUGAAUGUGAUAUGUCUAGUUUAACCAGUCCCCUUGAUCUUUCUAUAUAAUAAAUAACACAGGGGUGGACAUCCUGAAUCAGAUCUUAGCAGAGAUGCUGACAUGUGGGGUAACUGUCCAUGGUGUGUGGAGGGGUCCUCAGAACCCCCUCUUAGGAUCAUCUCCACAUACUCCCAGUUCUGAGAUUGGUUACCAACAGCAGGUUUCCUUCACGCUGCCGUGUCAGAGCAGCGCAGGAACUCUACGCUCCGCUGCGAGGGGCCUUCUCCUCCUAGGGAACACUCUGCUAAGUAAUGGGCAGAGAACAAAGGGGCUCCUCAUUCAAGGCAGGCCUAAGGGAGGGUCAGAAAGAACUUUAGCUGGAGGUAUUUACCGAUGUGACCUCCAAUCCUUGGGAAUUCUGGGAAAAUGGGCAAAGUGCCAAAAGAAGAGAACUGGCCAGGCCUUCAAAAGAAGAAAACCCAGAGAAUUACAGACAGUGAACUUGCCCCUAAGCCCUCGUUGAGGGGUGUGUUUGAGCAUUUAGGAGAGGACUCCAGUGCUCCUCAGCGACAAACACAGCUGCCUUUGCGGUGUCUGAAGGCCCUGGUCGUGGUGACACUAGAUGGCUGCCCUGGGCGCCUCCUGUGGGUGUAGAGGCAUCACCACUCUGCACUGGCAGACUCAGCAUGGAGUCGGAGCAGAGUCUGACACGAGCACUUGCCCUCCCAGGCAUUUCAGUUCUGACUGAGAAGGGAGCCGCACAGGGGAGGAGAGGGCCCUUUGGAGCUCCGCUCUGUCUCCACCACUCCCUAACCCCGCAGCCUCAGUGCCUUCAUCUGUAAAAUGGGGAGUUUUGCCUACAGAGUUCAGCACAGUGCCAGCCUGACAUGGGAACCCCAGUGGAUUAUCAGUUUUGUCAUUAUUCCCCUGCAUCCUGGAGGUGACACCGCCUGGUUAAUAGGCAACCCCUCCCGAUGGCCCAGCACAGCUGCACAGCAGCAGGAGGCUGGCCUGUGGCCAAGAAUGCACGGUGGAGGAGGGCUGGAGGGGGACUGCAGCUCCUCCUCUUCCUGCUUCCUCCCUGCUCCACCCCCUGCCUAGGGCAGCACAAAAGCAAAUCUCCAGCUAACUCCCUGCCUAGCAAGGCCCAGCCUGGGGCAGAAAUGGCUGCAAGUGGCCGAGGUCUCUGCAGGGCUGUGGCUGCCUCUCCCUUCCCAGCUUGGAGAGGAGCUCACACAGAAGCCGGGGGAGGUCUGAAGCCUGAGUAUGAUGCGGUGGUGAUAGGAGCAGGACACAACGGACUGGUGGCUGCAGCGUACCUGCAGAGACUGGGGGUGAACACCGCGGUCUUCGAGAGGCGCCAUGUGAUCGGGGGUGCAGCUGUCACUGAGGAGAUCGUCCCAGGGUUUAAGUUCUCCCGCGCGUCCUACCUGCUCAGCCUGCUGAGGCCGCAGAUUUACACUGAUCUGGAGCUGAAGAAACAUGGGCUGAGGCUUCAUCUUCGAAACCCCUACUCCUUCACCCCCAUGCUGGAAGAGGAUGCGGGCAGCAAGGUGCCCAGGUCCCUUCUGCUGGGCACAGACAUGGCAGAAAACCAGAAGCAGAUUGCCCAGUUCUCCCGGAAGGAUGCCCAGGUCUUUCCCAGAUACGAGGAGUUCAUGCAUCGCUUGGCAUUAGCCAUUGACCCUCUGCUGGAUGCGGCCCCCGUGGACAUGGCGGCCUUCCAGCGUGGCUCUCUGCUGCAAAGGAUCAAGUCGCUGUCCACCCUCAAGCCCCUGCUGAAAGCAGGCCGCAUCCUGGGAGCCCAGCUUCCCCAAUAUUAUGAGGUCCUCACAGCUCCCAUUACCAAGGUGCUGGAUCAGUGGUUUGAGUCUGAGCCUCUAAAAGCCACUCUGGCCACAGAUGCUGUGAUUGGAGCCAUGACAAGUCCCCGCACUCCGGGGAGUGGGUAUGUGCUGCUGCAUCAUGUGAUGGGGGGCCUGGAGGGGAUGCAGGGGGCCUGGGGCUAUGUCCAGGGGGGCAUGGGUGCCCUCUCUGAUGCCAUCGCAAGCUCAGCCACCACCCAUGGAGCAAGCAUCUUCACUGAAAAGACAGUGGCGAAGGUGCAGGUGAACAGUGAAGGCUGUGUUCAAGGAGUUGUGCUGGAAGAUGGCACAGAAGUGAGAAGCAAGGUGGUGCUGUCCAACACAUCACCGCAGAUCACCUUCCUGAAGCUGACGCCACAGGAGUGGCUUCCUGAGGAGUUCCUGGAGAAAAUCUCUCAGCUGGACACCCGGUCACCUGUCACCAAGAUCAAUGUGGCUGUAGACAGGCUGCCCAGCUUCCUGGCGGCCCCCAAUGCUCCCAGGGGCCACCCACUGCCCCAUCACCAGUGCUCCAUCCACCUGAACUGUGAAGACACCCUCCUUCUUCAUCAGGCCUUUGAAGACGCCAUGGAUGGCCUGCCUUCCCACAGGCCUAUGAUUGAGCUCUGCAUCCCUUCUGCGCUGGACCCCACCCUGGCUCCCUCCGGCUGCCACGUAGUCUCUCUCUUCACUCAGUACACGCCCUACACACUGGCUGGAGGCAAGGCCUGGGACGAGCAGGAGAGAGACGCUUACGCAGACAGAGUGUUUGAUUGCAUCGAGGUCUAUGCCCCUGGCUUCAAGGACUCUGUGGUCGGCAGAGACAUCCUCACACCACCAGAUUUGGAGAGAAUCUUCGGGCUUCCUGGAGGAAACAUAUUCCACUGUGCCAUGUCCCUGGAUCAGCUCUACUUUGCCCGCCCUGUGCCCCUGCAUUCUGGCUACCGCUGCCCUCUCCAGGGCCUGUAUCUCUGUGGAAGUGGGGCUCAUCCUGGUGAGUGACCUGGAGUCCCACUACCCUGUGGGGACUGGGAGGGCUCACUGGAGGCCAGAGACUUGGAGAACGAGGAAGAAGAUAAACAAUGAAGGCGGCAGAGAGGGAGGGGAGCAGGGAACUCCCACCAUAAGAAGCUGCCUUGUGUUCAGAAUUCUCCAUGCACAGGAGGAGGUGUGAUGGGAGCUGCUGGGCGAAAUGCAGCGCAUGCGGCCUUUAGGGACCUCAAGAGCAAGUGACCCCGAAUCAGCUCUGACCCAGGAAGAAGACUUCACCCCUCAAUUCCAAGCGCUCCAUUGGGUCAGCUUCCCAGGAAACUCAGCUUCGGGUUAGUACUUAAGGCCACCAAAUCCUCAAUGCUCAAGCUAUUAUUUUAGAAAAAAUGUACGAGUUACGUUUAGUGCAAGUUAACCUUAUGCCCGUGCCUCCGUACGUGGACUGGUUCUGUGUUAUUAAAACUAAUAUUUCAUACAGAUUA